rnacentral:rRNA from 1 species
UGGGGAAUUUUGGACAAUGGGCGAAAGCCUGAUCCAGCAAUGCCGCGUGUGUGAAGAAGGCCUUCGGGUUGUAAAGCACUUUUGUCCGGAAAGAAAUCCUUGGCUCUAAUACAGUCGGGGGAUGACGGUACCGGAAGAAUAAGCACCGGCUAACUACGUGCCAGCAGCCGCGGUAAUACGUAGGGUGCAAGCGUUAAUCGGAAUUACUGGGCGUAAAGCGUGCGCAGGCGGUUUGCUAAGACCGAUGUGAAAUCCCCGGGCUCAACCUGGGAACUGCAUUGGUGACUGGCAGGCUAGAGUAUGGCAGAGGGGGGUAGAAUUCCACGUGUAGCAGUGAAAUGCGUAGAGAUGUGGAGGAAUACCGAUGGCGAAGGCGAGCCCCCUGGGCCAAUACCUGGACGCUCAUGCACGAAAAGCGUGGGGGAGCAAACAGGAUUAGAUACCCUGGUAGU